AACAGGAACCACUUGAAGCAGGGAAGUCCAGAUGCUUCUGACACGCUCCGAGCUCCGAGCUCCUGAUCCCAUGUGUGGAAGGCUCAGAUCAAUUCUAUCUCUUCAAGACAGGAGGGUAGCAUUAUUGUCCUCUGCAAGACUCAACAGAGCAGCCGACUGACACACGUGCACAGACAUACGGCCAAAUAUCGAAUGGAGCUCAGUGAGUCUCACUGAAGGGCUGAGGGAAGUGCAGACAGAGACAGAGGAGCACAAUGAUCUUCAGAACUAAGAAAAUCCAAUUUGUACCUGAGCACUUGACUCAAAAAUUGCCUUCUGCUCUCCUGAAGAUGAGACUACGAACCCUACUAUAGCUGGGAAUGGUAAUCCAGGUUGAUUCACUAAU